rnacentral:rRNA from 1 species
GGGUUGUUGCUGGUUCUCUAGGGAGCAUGUGCACACCUUGUCAUCUUUAUAUCUCCACCUGUGCACUUUUUGUAGACCUUUUCAGGUCUAUGUUGCCUCAUUUUACCCCAAUGUAUGUCAAUAGAAUGUUGUGCCUAUAUAUAAUAUAUACAACUUUCAGCAACGGAUCUCUUGGCUCUCGCAUCGAUGAAGAACGCAGCGAAAUGCGAUAAGUAAUGUGAAUUGCAGAAUUCAGUGAAUCAUCGAAUCUUUGAACGCACCUUGCGCUCUUUGGUAUUCCGAGGAGCAUGCCUGUUUGAGUGUCAUUAAUAUAAUCAACCUUCUCUUGUUUUGAGAAUGGUUUGGAUGUGGGGGAUUUGCUGGCCUCUCUCAAAAGGUUCAGCUCCCCUGAAAUGCAUUAGCAGAACAACCUUUGCUCAUUGGUGUGAUAACUAUCUACGCUUAUGAAUAUGAGGGGCAGUUCAGCUUUCUAACGGUCUUUGGACAAUUCAUCAUUAAUGUGACCUCAAAUCAGGUAGGACUACCCGCUGAACUUAAGCAUAUCAAUAAGGCGGAGG